GUAAUGCUUUGGAAUCUUCCCAGUUAGUGGGGAAUAACCAGUCGAAAGUAUUGGCAUAAUACCGCAUACGUCUGUAACAGGGAAAGCGGGGGCUCGUAAGACUCGCGCUAUUGGAUGAGCCAAAGUCGGAUUAGCUAGUUCGGUGGGGUUAUUGGCCUACCAAGGCUGACAAUCCCGUAGCUGGUUCUUGAUUGAGGACGACCAGCCACACCUGGAACUGAGACACGGUCCGGACUCAUACGGGAGGCAGCAGUGGGGAAUAUUGGACAAUGGGGGAAACCCUGAUCCAGCGACGCCGCGUGUGUGAAGAAGGCCUGCGGGUUGUAAAGCACUUUUAGUGGGGACAAAAAGCUACGGAUUAAUACUCUGUGGUCUUGAUUUAACCCAAUAGAAAAAGCACCGGCUAACUCUGUGCCAGCAGCCGCGGUAAUACAGAGGGUGCGAGCGUUUAAUCGGAAUUACUGGGUUUAAAGGGUGUGUAGGCGGGCUAUUAAGUCACGCUGGUGAAAUCUCCGGGGCUCAACCUGGGAAACUGCCAUUGAUACUAUUAGUCUUGAAUUUUGUUGGAAG
rnacentral:rRNA from 1 species